rnacentral:lncRNA from 1 species
UUCGUCUUGUUGAAACUGUGUGUGUGUAGGCCUAAAAAGAUUUUCUUCUUGUAUUCUUCUUCCUUUUUAAGGGGUGGUGGGGGUGGGUGCCGGAUGUAGGCCGCCAAGUGAGAAACAACUUAUUAUUCUCUAGCGACUUCCUAAUCGGACCAUCAAUCUACACAUCUGUCGGCUCUUAACAGCAAUCGAGUCGAGUCACUCUUGGCUCAUUUUCCCCAUCGAUUAAUACGCUUCAGACACCUGGAAGCUGAACUGCUGCUGCCGGCUGCUUGCUCUGCUGCUUCUUCUUUUUCUUCUCCUCCUGUCAAUUUCUGUACACGCCACACACUCGAGGAGGCACUAACAGCAACGGGGAAAAAAAAAGAGAAACAAGAUGGUAUCGCGCUGACGAAAACGAAUUGGAAAUCAUUCGGGGCCCCUUGUGCUGGUGCUACUUCUACCACCCGGCCAGAGGAAGCUGUCGGGGCAGUUGUGGAAGAAAGAAGAAGAAUAAUCCUGCCACAAAGGGGAAUAGAAAAGAAUAGUCCCGAGUAUGACAAGGGACAAGACGACCGAGAGUGUUCCCUCAGCCGUACUACUCACUCGACAACAACGAGAAGAAAACGUCAUAAUUUAUCUACGUGUCUCUCUCCGAACCCGUAAAGGUCUUUUUUUUUUUUGAAAGAAUUUUGAAUAAUGCAUUAAUAAUAAUUUCUUUUUUUUUUCUUCUUUCCCCUACUGCACGAUAAUGUCGGAAACUGUUUGCUGGUCGGGGACAAAACCAGAAGAAGAAGGGGGGGGGGGACAAGAUGUAAUGCUAUUACAUUUGAAACUGAAUAACCUAAAAAAGGGAAAUAGGGAAAAAACAGCGUCUCUUAUCUUUUUGGAAUGCGUCCUAUUGAGCGCCUCUUGUCCAAUCCUCUAUCAUAAAACUAUACGAGACCUAGGCGCCCGAUCAUCACCGCGGAUGUCUGGCGUCCAACGCAGGCGACGAAUCUCUCCACCACAAUCAGGACAACACAAAAAUGUCGCAGGCCUACCAUAUAAUCUAAAAACUUGCAUCUACCCCCCACCAUCACCACCAGGCCUAUUCUUCUUCAGUUUGAACGUGUGAACAUAACUCCUUUUCUAGGAUCUUGGUGUCCCGAUUCUUUUUUUUUUUUCUUGGAGGGAGAAUGUUGGGCGAGAUGUACAUCUUGGACGUUCCAUUUUGUGUGUGUUGUUUCCAUUUUUACGAUGUCCUGGAAUGGCAACAAUAGCGGGAAAUUCAAUUUGUCUGAUAAUGCCGAAACGAACUGUCCAUUUCGCCGACAUUUUUUACACACAAUAGGACGAAACAAUUCUCCUUUUUAUUUUUUUCAAAUCCGAGUAGAAGCAAUCGAAAUUGAAGUGAGCGACCAAAGUACUGGGAUUAAAUGCUAUAGAUAUAUAAAACCCCCGAGUGAUGUAUAAAUCCUUAUAUACCUUUUCUUUCUUUUUUAAAUCUGUUUGUACCCAGUAGAAAAGGAGAGAAGAUCCUACAGGAAAGAAAAUGGGAUUUUCAGGUCCUGGGAUUUGUGUGCAAUGAAGAAAAGAUUGGCGGCGGCCCUUUUCUUUUUUCUUUCUUUUUCCAAAAGUCAAAUAGAAACGGGCGGUCAAUUCUCUCAAGAAGGAAAAAGAAUUACAGCGCGCGGUAUUUCUUGAUGAAACGGAAUUUAGUAGCUCCCACGCACGACGGGCACGUGUACGACGUACCGAUGGAUGGCUAACUUACAAUAGAAGACCUUUGAUUCCCAUCCACCGCUAUAGGACUUUUUUUUUUCUAUCAUGAAUUAUGGAUUGAGCCGUAUGCGCUUUAUUUGAAAUUGGCGGCACCGUGUGGGAGGAGAGCAAUAAAUGUGAGAAGAAGGAGGGGAUCAUUUCCCUAUCGCCUCCGUGUGAGCGUGUGUCUGAUCCACCCCUGGAUUAUUCCGAAUCAUUUAUUUAUUAGAUUGCCUUUCGUUACUUUUUUUUUCUUUUUCCCCUCCUCGUUGUAUAGUCAAAAGCCUGUGGGUGUUGCUUUAGCUCCUUCGUCUUGACUUUUAUUAAGUUCUUUGGUUGGUUUGUUUGUAUUCUUCUUUUUCUUUUAUCCUUUUGUAUUUUCGCAGGCACUUGAUCAUCAAAGAUUCAGCCAGGAUCGACGACUGUACCGAACGGCUGGGUGAUGACAGAAGGCCCAUCCAUCUAAUCCCCCAAGCAUUUCGAAAUUUUUUUUUUCGGGGUUCCUUUUGGGCGGAUGAUGACACCGGAACGCGCGCUCACUUGGGGAACCCCGUGAAGAUGUGAGCUGCUGCACGAACUUGUGUGUCCCAGUCAGGGUUCCAUGACGAAUGAAAUUUCCUCCUCUGAAUCCCUCGACUACCACAUCAUCAUCCCUGCAGGGUGUCGAUCGUCGACUCUCUCUUCCGUUUUUUUUUUCUGUUUAGGUUUAUCCAAUAUCAACAUGGAAUAUUACACACACGAACAAAAAAAAUAAAAGGGGAGAAGCUCAAAAGGUAUUGUUUGAUUUUCUCUUUUGUGUUUUGUUUGUUAUUUCUUUUUCUGGGGCCGGGUGGAAUCGAUCAAUUAACAAGUCAGAGAGUGGCAAGUGGCAGACAGCAUCAAGGGUGUAUACGCAUAUACAGCAUACCGCGCUGCUACAAAGGGGGAAUCGAUCCAUUCUGACGAUUCCAUAUUCAACGAUGUUUGUACAAUGACAGCUGAUAGUAUACCUGCACCGUCUUUAGUUUGAUGCCAACAUAAUCAAAAGAGUCCAAUAACAAGGUAAAAGAAGAAUUUUUUCAUUUAUACUAUCUUCUAUCCAGCAACUCUUUAGAUGAAUGGAAUUAUUUGCGCUUCAAUCAACAUUGUCCCAUUGAUGGAUUCAUUUGAUCACAUCCAUCCAAGAACAGUCCUUACUCCCUCUCUCUUCUAGUCUUCUUCUUCUUGUUCUCUACAUCGGGCACCGAACCGAAAUCCACAAAGGUAUAAAUGGAUUUAUUUCCAUCGCUCUCGCCCACUCUCUCACACUCGGUUCGCUAUGGCUGGCGUGUGAGUAUAUGUGUCGCUUAUAUUUGUAUUAUUAGCUCCUUCCGGUACGACGGACGUCAUCACCAGGCGUGCGUGAGUUUCUACCACUCUUCAUUCUCUCUCUCUCUUCAACAUAUAUUAUAUAGGCUUUCGCUAAUUCUCUUUUGUGGAGACUAGCAUGAAAGACCACCCUAGCUAUCGUUUGGUUAGGUUUCCUUUUGUUUUUAUUUCGUCCACGGUUGGUAUAUCGAUUUAAAAAAAAAAUUCACCUCCUACUUCAGACUUGUAGCCCCCCGAUGCCCUAAAGUUCAAGUUCAAUGAAUGCGUCAAAGCCUUUUGAAUAAUACUCCCCUCGUUGUCGAUAAACUUUUCGAGGGUGUACACCAAGGGGAAUUCAAUCAAUGGCAGGUGUUUUUUUUUUCAUCCAUCGAAAUGCGUGGGCCAACUUUGAGAAAUUCUUUUCCUCUUGUCAAGUCUCAAGUUUUUUUUUUCUCUACUUGUGAAUGAAUGGGAAAAAAGGGAGUGCUUCACACGACCAAAUUACGAAAUCAUCUCUCAACAUUUUCUUCGUUUCUCUUUCUUCACGGCAGUCGCGAGUUUUUGACAUCAAGGGCCCCCUAUAGUACUGUACGGAGUUUGAAUAAGAGAAUCGUCUUUUCAUUUCGGCGUGCAGAGUCUCGAAAGGCUGAAAUAUCACCCCAUAUCUUGUUGCUGAUCCUAGAAGGUCUGAGGCUGAGCUUUUGUUGCCGUAAACAGGUCAUUUGCAGGCAUCUUCUUUCUUCUUGCUGCUGAUAAUGCUGGCUCCUUUUUCUCUCUCCCGACUCCUCUCGUGCCUGUCACUAUUUUUUUUCUUUCAGGGAAUGACUGGUAAUUUGUGAUUAGAGAAACCAUCACACUCGACUAGGGCGACGAAGGCGGGUAUUAUAAUUUGAGAAAUGGCCGUGGCUUUGGUUGACGUGGUUGGGGCCCGGCAGUUCGUGACCGUUUUAGCGACCGCUGGGGACAGAUUCGACGGUGACACGUAAUAUUUAUACGCCCAGUGAGCGCGGCUGUUUUCAAAUUCAAACGCUGACGAACGUUUCCGGUCCAGGGCGAAAUCUAGUUGGAUAGAUGAUCAUUUUCUAGUGGGAGGAGAGCGCAAUAACGGGCUGCUGCUGCUGCUGCCCAGUGCGGAUAUGACCAGAUGAAUCAAUUAUCUGCCGCUUGACGUCUUUUCGUUUACUCCCUUUCUGCAGGAUCAAUCCGUGUCCCGAUGGGGGGCAGCAGCAUGCACGGUCAGUCUUCACGUUGAUUUGUUGAGACACGGAAUUAUCUGAAAAGGCUCGAAACAAUUUGUGGGAUACCCACGUUGUCCCCCCUGAUUGCAGCUCUCCUUUCUUUGGGUGGUGGAAGGAGAAACGUCUUGCAACAGGAAAGCAGCUGACUCACAGGGCAACUCUUCUCUGCCGGUGAUAUUUACGGCCGUCAUAACGGUAGCUUAUGGUUUGUUUGGCAUGGUGGAAAAUAUUUGGAAGGAUUUUUCUUCUUCUUUGCUGCCUCCAUCAACCUCUUGAAGGCUUAUAUAUUCCCGACACGAUAUAGCAAGACUAUGAUCGUCAGUUAUUAUCCUCUCCCGGGAUUAUAUUAUUCCUCCGCUUCUUUAGACCUUUUCCUCCUUCUCAAGAUUCUUCUCUCUCUCUUUUUUUCUUUUUCUCUUUUUCUCUUUUUCAUUUACGCUAGAGAGGAGCUUCUUUUAGUCGACACUCAUAAUCUCUGCCUCUAUCCUGCCCAUCUAGACGACGAGGCCUAUGCAAAUCAAGCGGUGGAGAAGUUACGACUUUGAACGGGGCUGAACGCAACCAAGAAGAAGGAGGAAAGAAUGAACGAAUCACCUGGCCCACUUUAUCGAGGCCUGUCAAGACAUUUUUACCCUUGUGGCGUCCGGGUGUCCCUGUCGGCGGUGCGCGCAAGGUGGAAUUUUUUUCUUCUUCUUCUUCUCGCAGGAUCUCAUAGACUAAUGAGGAAUUCUUGUAUACAGGCGAUAACGCCAGAGAGACACACUGCUGUGUGCACACACACACACAGACCCGAACUGUGUGUGUUGUAAAUUGGCUUAUCUGACGUCAGGGUCUAGCGUGACGAGUCGCGGGAGAAGGGGGGGGGGAAUAGUACACCAACACAAACCGAGUAAAAAAAAAUCUGGCCACUAACGAGCACCAACUCUCUCUCUCUCUCUCUUUCUUGCAACACGACCAUCUGAAUUGAUGCUAUCAAUUCAUUUUUUUCUUUCUUUUCUCUAUUGUUUUCGGCCAGGUCAUGGCGUGUAAAUCAAUCAAUUAGCACAAGGUCCAAGAGCGAAUAUUCUUAAAGUGAGAUUGAAGAUUAGAAAAUGUGUUAUUUCACCAGCCGAGAGAAAUUGCGUCUGUUUGGAAUCGAACUCGGAAUCUUACGGAGCUCAACAGGGAGCACGACAUUAAAGUACUCGAUCAAUUACACACUCCACAACUAGUCAGGCCUCUUAUGCUGGCCGUCGGGGGAUUUAGUUUUUUCUUUUUGGUGGGUGUGUUUAAUUAGCUGCUCAUUUUGCCGUACGGUUCAACUGCAGAGGCCUUUAUGGUCAUCAAUCUUGGACUGGACGUCACCGUCCAGUAGUGGCUUGUAUAAAAAUGAAAACACAAACGUUCGCCAACGGCUAGCUGUGACUCUAUUUUCGACUCGGAUUAAUAUCACAGCGUAAAAGAAAUGGGAAGAAAAGGGCUUUUACGUUAGAUACAUAUUUGAAUGCUCUGAACUGAUGAAAUAACCCGUUGUGAUGGAAAGCGUGAAACGCCGCGGCGCCCGGCCCCGACGGAUUUUCACGCUGCUCUGCUGACACGAGAUCGAGUCGAGCCGAGCCCGCGCCUGUUUGUUUCAGCAACCUGGGCGUUUAACCCUCUUAACUAAAUUUCGUCUAGACUCUUAUGUAUUUGACUCGGAGGAUGGAAGCCUUAUUCGUCUUGCCCGUGGAUUCACGACAAUCAAGGAAACCUGCUGCUAAACAGGUUUUUUCUUUCUCUUUUUUUUUUUGUAAUAGUAUUAUCUUUUUUCUUCUCUUCUUUCGUUGUUGUUUAUAACCUCUGGUGUAAUGCCGUUGUCGUUAACCAUAGCCUUGCAACUAAAUAAAUCAAAGUGGGAGGACUCUUGAAUCUUGAUGCUGGGGUGGCGCGGGUCGGUCGGCCGGCUUUUGUACCGUUUCCUUUUAGUUACGCUCUUUAGCAUUGUUUUGCGAUUCCCAGACAAUAAUUCGUAUAAUAAUGUGAACGAGAGAGGAGGCCGAACGAAUCUUUGUUUCUUAUUACAUGGUCAUGGGGCAGAGAUGAUUCCUUUCUUCUGAUUGCGAUGAAUGGAUGGCCUCAAGCUGGCGCAUCGUAUUGAGUUGCUAUGCUUGUCUCCGGGUGAUGGGUGGUUCCGCCGGAGAAGGAUUGUAGAAAGGAGAACUGGGCGAUUACUUAUCAACCUGGGCGACACGCGAAUUGUCAAUUGCCAGGAAAGGAGUUAUUAUCACAAGGUUUUCUUUUUACAUUUGCCACCGGGUUAUCAACACUUCUUGCUGGCUCGUGCCUCGAUGGUCUUAUUCUGCGUUGUUAUAAUAGGUAUUUUACAAUCCCUAAGCGUUAAUAUAAAUGUUGUUAUAAAAAGGUUGAUUUCUAAGGCUCACUACGAUCCAUUGUUUUUAGUUGUUCCACUCUUUGAUUAACUUAAAAACUUAAAAAUGAAAGAUUUUAGAAUAAACAGUUUACAUGACGUUUUUAAACAAACAAUAAUUCAUGAAUUUAAUUUAGAUGUGUGUUUAAUUUAAACGUGGUUGAC